GACGAACGCUGGCGGCGUGCUUAACACAUGCAAGUCGAACGGAAAGGCCCUGCUUUUGUGGGGUGCUCGAGUGGCGAACGGGUGAGUAACACGUGAGUAACCUGCCCUUGACUUUGGGAUAACUUCAGGAAACUGGGGCUAAUACCGGAUAGGAGCUCCUGCUGCAUGGUGGGGGUUGGAAAGUUUCGGCGGUUGGGGAUGGACUCGCGGCUUAUCAGCUUGUUGGUGGGGUAGUGGCUUACCAAGGCUUUGACGGGUAGCCGGCCUGAGAGGGUGACCGGCCACAUUGGGACUGAGAUACGGCCCAGACUCCUACGGGAGGCAGCAGUGGGGAAUAUUGCACAAUGGGCGGAAGCCUGAUGCAGCAACGCCGCAUGCGGGAUGACGGCCUUCGGGUUGUAAACCGCUUUCGCCUGUGACGAAGCGUGAGUGACGGUAAUGGGGAAAGAAGCACCGGCUAACUACGU
rnacentral:rRNA from 1 species